rnacentral:rRNA from 1 species
AGCUCCAAUAGCGUAUAUUAAAGUUGUUGCAGUUAAAAAGCUCGUAGUUGGAUAUCUGGGCUGAGCGACCGGUCCGCCGCUGUGCGGUGUGUACUCGGGUGCGACUCGGCUCAUCCUUGCAGGGAACUUCUUUCGGUCUUAACUGGUCGGGGUAGGGAAUUGCAUCGUUUACUGUGAAAAAAUUAGAGUGUUUAAAGCAGGCUUAUGCUGUGAAUACAUUAGCAUGGAAUAAUAAGAUAGGACUUGGUGUCUAUUUUGUUGGUUGGAGAACCAGGUAAUGAUUAAUAGGGAUAGUUGGGGGUAUUCAUAUUUAAUUGUCAGAGGUGAAAUUCUUGGAUUUAUGAAAGAUGAACUUAUGCGAAAGCAUUUACCAAGGAUGUUUUCA